rnacentral:rRNA from 1 species
AUUGAACGCUGGCGGCAUGCCUUACACAUGCAAGUCGAACGGUAACGGGCCUUCGGGUGCCGACGAGUGGCGAACGGGUGAGUAAUGCAUCGGAACGUACCUUUCAGUGGGGGAUAACGUAGCGAAAGUUACGCUAAUACCGCAUAUUCUGUGCGCAGGAAAGCAGGGGAUCGCAAGACCUUGCGCUGAUUGAGCGGCCGAUGUCAGAUUAGCUAGUUGGUGGGGUAAAGCUCACCAAGGCGACGAUCUGUAGCGGGUCUGAGAGGAUGAUCCGCCACACUGGAACUGAGACACGGGUCCAGACUCCUACGGGAGGCAGCAGUGGGGAAUAUUGGGCAAUGGGGGAACCCUGACCCAGCAACGCCGCGUGAAGGAAGAAGGUCUUCGGAUUGUAAACUUCUGUCCUAUGGGAAGAAAAAAUGACGGUACCAUAGGAGGAAGCCCGCUAACUACGUGCCAGCAGCCCGCGGUAAUAGUCACGUCG